rnacentral:rRNA from 1 species
AACGAACGCUGGCGGCGCGCCUAAUACAUGCAAGUCGAGCGAGAAGACGUAGCAAUACGUUUGUAAAGCGGCGAACGGGUGAGGAAUACAUGGGUAACCUACCCUCGAGUGGGGAAUAACUAGCCGAAAGGUUAGCUAAUACCGCGUACGCUCCUUGGACUUCGGUUCAGGGAGGAAAGCGAUACCGUGGGUAUCGCGCUCUUGGAUGGGCUCAUGUCCUAUCAGCUUGUUGGUGAGGUAACGGUUCACCAAGGCUUCGACGGGUAGCUGGUCUGAGAGGACGAUCAGCCACACUGGCACUGCGACACGGGCCAGACUCCUACGGGAGCAGCAGUAAGGAUAUUGCGCAAUGGGCAAAGCCUGACGCAGCGACGCCGCGUGGGGGAUGAAGGUCUUCGG